CAGUAGCCGCGGUAAUACGGAGGGUGCAAGCGUUAUCCGGAUUUAUUGGGUUUAAAGGGUCCGUAGGCGGAUCUGUAAGUCAGUGGUGAAAUCUCACAGCUUAACUGUGAAACUGCCAUUGAUACUGCAGGUCUUGAGUAAAUUUGAAGUGGCUGGAAUAAGUAGUGUAGCGGUGAAAUGCAUAGAUAUUACUUAGAACACCAAUUGCGAAGGCAGGUCACUAAGAUUUAACUGACGCUGAUGGACGAAAGCGUGGGUAGCGAACAGGAUUAGAUACCCCAGUAGUCCCUGUCUCUUAUAC
rnacentral:rRNA from 1 species